GGGGUCUGCAACUCGACCCCAUGAAGUCGGAGUCGCUAGUAAUCGCAGAUCAGCAACGCUGCGGUGAAUACGUUCCCGGGCCUUGUACACACCGCCCGUCAAGUCACGAAAGUUGGUAACACCCGAAGCCGGUGG
rnacentral:rRNA from 1 species